rnacentral:rRNA from 1 species
AGCAGGCGCGCAAAUUACCCAAUCCCGACACGGGGAGGUAGUGACAAUAAAUAACAAUACGGGGCUCUUUCGGGUCUCGUAAUUGGAAUGAGUACAAUUUAAAUCCCUUAACGAGGAACAAUUGGAGGGCAAGUCUGGUGCCAGCGGCCGCGGUAAUUCCAGCUCCAAUAGCGUAUAUUAAAGUUGUUGCAGUUAAAAAGCUCGUAGUUGAAUUUCGGGAUUGANACAUCGGUCGUGCCUUAAGGGGUAUGAACUGGUGUAGUCAAUUUCUCACCUUCUGGAGAACCGCGAUGCCCUUAAUUGGGUGUCACGGGGAACCAGGACCUUUACUUUGAAAAAAUUAGAGUGUUUAAAGCAGGCAUUUUGCUUGAAUACAUUAGCAUGGAAUAAUAAAAUAGGACGGCAUGAUUCUAUUUUGUUGGUUUCUAGGAUCACCGUAAUGAUUAAUAGGGAUAGUUGGGGGCAUUAGUAUUCAAUUGUCAGAGGUGAAAUUCUUGGAUUUAUUGAAGACUAACUACUGCGAAAGCAUUUGCCAAGGAUGUUUUCAUUAAUCAAGAACGAAAGUUAGGGGAUCGAAGACGAUCAGAUACCGUCGUAGUCUUAACCAUAAACUAUGCCGACUAGGAAUCAGACGAUGUUAAUUUUUUAAUGACUCGUUUGGCACCUUACGGGAAACCAAAGUGUUUGGGUU